rnacentral:lncRNA from 1 species
CGUGCAAAAGCUGGCGCGGCAGAAGCUGCCGUACAGCCCGCAGUGGAGCCUGCUGCUGGCCAUGGCCGCAGGGUCCCUCGCGAGCUAUGUGGUAACCAGAGCUGAGACACAGAAAUGCUCCGACUUCUGGAUUUAUCUGGAGACAGGCAAGUCCCCACAGCAGCUCGCCGUGACUGGUGGGGUGUCUCAGACCACAGAAAAUCUGCUCAGCACAGAGGACAGGGACAGCGCCGCACUGCCGGUGAGGAGGAACAGGCUUGAUGGCACUGUUGGGAAGCUCAGAGGACUUGAUCCUGCAGCGAGAGUGUGGUGGAGGCACUACAGGGAUCACUGCUGCCCACCUCAUGGCCUCUGAACAUUGCACUGAGGGUACAAUAAAAGUCAAGAACUGAAGGUGCUCA